GACGAACGCUGGCGGCGUGCUUAACACAUGCAAGUCGAACGAAGUGGCGAACGGGUGAGUAACGCGUAAUCAACCUGCUCUUCAGAGGGGGCCAACAGCUGGAAACGAUUGCUAAUCCCGCAUACUGAAGGAGGGGAUUGCGUCUGAUUAGCUAGUUGGAGGGGUAACGGCCCGACAAGGCGAUGAUCAGUAGCCGGUCUUGGAGGAUGAACGGCGACAUUGGGACUGGGACACGGCCCAGACUCCUACGGGAGGCAGCAGUGGGGAAUCUUCCGCAAUGGACGGAAGUCUGACGAAGCAACGCCGCGUGAGUGAUGACGGCCUUCGGGUUGUAAAGCUCUGUUAAUCGGGACGCGGUACCGGAAUAGAAAGCCACGGCUAACUACGUGCCAGCAGCCGCGGUAAUAC
rnacentral:rRNA from 1 species